GGCCGAGAGACCGAGGGCAUGACUGCCAAUCCCAUCCGGAGGAUUUGUGUCCUCCUCCACCAAAUUCGCUGGAGGAAGAGCGAAGAGGGUCGAGGCCUCACGCUGCCACCUGAACCCUCCUCCUCCUGCACCCGGCGUCCACUGAAACAGGCUUUGUAAAGGAGAUCUGCGUGCCUUUUAAAUGAGAUGAACACUGUCAGAUUUACACACUGCUAUGGUUUCAACCAACCCCUGAUAAUCCCUUCCCAGAAAUAAAUUGUCCCAUUAAAAUGAAAUGUUGCCCAUAUAGGUUUAAUAAAUUGAAAACGCUUG